rnacentral:rRNA from 2 species
UUGAUGGAGAGUUUGAUCCUGGCUCAGGACGAACGCUGGCGGCGUGCUUUACACAUGCAAGUCGAGCGAUCGGCCCGGCUCCUUUGGGGUUGGGUACGGAGCGGCGAACGGGUGAGUAACACGUGGGUAACCUGCCCUUGGCUCUGGGAUAAGCCUGGGAAACUGGGUCUAAUACCGGAUGGGACGCAUGGCCGCAUGGUCUGUGUGUGGAAAGGUUUUUCUGGCCAGGGAUGGGCCCGCGGCCUAUCAGUUUGUUGGUGGGGUAGUGGCCUACCAAGGCGACGACGGGUAGCCGGCCUGAGAGGGUGUUCGGCCACACUGGGACUGAGAUACGGCCCAGACUCCUACGGGAGGCAGCAGUGGGGAAUAUUG